rnacentral:tRNA from 1 species
GCGGUCGGGCGGCGCGGUCGGACAGCGCGGCCGGACAGCGCGGCCGGGCAGCGGGGCCGGGCGCAGGGGCCGGGUUCAGCCCCGGCGGACCGCGCC